UGAGGCCGACAGGCGUAGGCGAUGGAUAACAGGUUGAUAUUCCUGUACCACCUAUAAUCGUUUUAAUCGAUGGGGGGACGCAGUAGGAUAGGCGAAGCGUGCGAUUGGAUUGCACGUCUAAGCAGUAAGGCUGAGUAUUAGGCAAAUCCGGUACUCGUUAAGGCUGAGCUGUGAUGGGGAGAAGACAUUGAGUCUUCGAGUCGUUGAUUUCACACUGCCGAGAAAAGCCUCUAGAUAGAAAAUAGGUGCCCGUACCGCAAACCGACACAGGUAGUCAAGAUGAGAAUUCUAAGGUGAGCGAGCGAACUCUCGUUAAGGAACUCGGCAAAAUGACCCCGUAACUUCGGGAGAAGGGGUGCUCUUUAGGGUUAACGCCCAGAAGAGCCGCAGUGAAUAGGCCCAAGCGACUGUUUAUCAAAAACACAGGUCUCUGCUAAACCGUAAGGUGAUGUAUAGGGGCUGACGCCUGCCCGGUGCUGGAAGGUUAAGAGGAGUGGUUAGCUUCUGCGAAGCUACGAAUCGAAGCCCCAGUAAACGGCGGCCGUAACUAUAACGGUCCUAAGGUAGCGAAAUUCCUUGUCGGGUAAGUUCCGACCCGCACGAAAGGCGUAACGAUUUGGGCACUGUCUCAACGAGAGACUCGGUGAAAUCAUAGUACCUGUGAAGAUGCAGGUUACCCGCGACAGGACGGAAAGACCCCGUGGAGCUUUACUGUAGCCUGAUAUUGAAAUUCGGCACAGCUUGUACAGGAUAGGUAGGAGCCUUUGAAACGUGAGCGCUAGCUUACGUGGAGGCGCUGGUGGGAUACUACCCUAGCUGUGUUGGCUUUCUAACCCGCACCACUUAUCGUGGUGGGAGACAGUGUCAAGCGGGCAGUUUGACUGGGGCGGUCGCCUCCUAAAAGGUAACGGAGGCGCUCAAAGGUUCCCUCAGAAUGGUUGGAAAUCAUUCAUAGAGUGUAAAGGCAUAAGGGAGCUUGACUGCGAGACCUACAAGUCGAGCAGGGUCGAAAGACGGACUUAGUGAUCCGGUGGUUCCGCAUGGAAGGGCCAUCGCUCAACGGAUAAAAGCUACCCCGGGGAUAACAGGCUUAUCUCCCCCAAGAGUUCACAUCGACGGGGAGGUUUGGCACCUCGAUGUCGGCUCAUCGCAUCCUGGGGCUGUAGUCGGUCCCAAGGGUUGGGCUGUUCGCCCAUUAAAGCGGUACGCGAGCUGGGUUCAGAACGUCGUGAGACAGUUCGGUCCCUAUCCGUCGUGGGCGUAGGAAAUUUGAGAGGAGCUGUCCUUAGUACGAGAGGACCGGGAUGGACAUACCUCUGGUGUACCAGUUGUCGUGCCAACGGCAUAGCUGGGUAGCUAUGUGUGGACGGGAUAAGUGCUGAAAGCAUCUAAGCAUGAAGCCCCCCUCAAGAUGAGAUUUCCCAACUUCGGUUAUAAGAUCCCUCAAAGAUGAUGAGGUUAAUAGGUUCGAGGUGGAAGCAUGGUGACAUGUGGAGCUGACGAAUACUAAUCGAUCGAAGACUUAAUCAA
rnacentral:rRNA from 1 species